rnacentral:sRNA from 1 species
AACAGAUCAGGGAUCAGGAACGUGACUGCCCUUGCUCAUCUGCUGGCCCUCCACAUUUGCCCAGUCCCUCGGUCUCUCUGCCUCCGUUUCCUCCCAGUUUGAUGAGGAUAAUCACGAAGCACAUCAGGACUGUUGGGUUAGAUGAAGUCAUGCAGGUAAAGCUGCUGUGCAGCUGCAGGCAUGUCAGCAUGGCUGGCAGUCUCUGUGCCUGGCUGAGCCUGCUCAGAGCCACAGUGACCUCCCAGGUGUCCUCCUCCCCUGCUCCCGUCGUGACAUCUGGGACUCUAUCCCCCUGCCGCCCUCCAGGGUCUCCUGCUGCUUCUGCCUGUUUGCUCUCUCCUCAGUCUCCCUGCAGAAGAGCUUCCAAGUGGAGGAGUCACAUGACUGGGGUGGCACCGUCAAGGAGAGGCAGUAGCCGCGAGUCCAGUGGGUCUCAGGGCAAGCCAAGUCAAAGGGCUGGGGCCUAAGACAACAGGGAUAGGAGUCAACGCACAUCUGUGAGAUGCUGGGGAAGCAGCAUCAACAUGACUUGGGGACCCCCUGGGCCCACAGCUCUCUGCAUGGAAAGGGAGGAAGGAGCCAAGCUGGUGAGCACCCAGCCAGUGUUUUGUGGACAUGAACAGUUCUGGUUCUGGAGAGGGAUCUUCGUUGGGCUUGAUAGAGACAUGUGCUUUCGGACUGUAGAUGUCAUGAGUUUCUGAGGAAAGGUCAGCAUGACAGGCAAGUGACAGACAUCAGAGUCAGUAAAGAUGGAGCGUGGAGAGGCAGGGCCUGGGAGUGGAGAGGCGGGUCCUGGGAGCAGAGAGGAGGGGCCUAGGAAUGGAGAGGUGGGGCCUAGGAGUGGAAGGGUGUGGUCUUGGAGUGGAGAGGUGGGGCCUGGGAGCAGAGAGGAGGGGCCUAGGAAUGGAGAGGUGGGGCCUAGGAGUGGAAAGGUGUGGUCUUGGAGUGGAGAGGCGGGGCCUGCGUGGAGAGGCAGGGUCUCUCAGAAGACCCCUUUUUGGGAUCCAGAAUCACUAGGAGCAGGGUAAGCUGUGUGGCAUCAGCGCUUGCAUCCUGCAGGGAGUUACCUACCAGGGCUGGGCCGGGACUGGCCACAACCUUGACAGAUGAAGUUUGACCAGACCAAGUGAGUCCUCAUGGUCUGAUACGUAAGCCAGAUGUGAGUUACCAAUUUGCACCAGGGGCUGUGCUCCCCCAGUGGCUGGCCUGCCCUCCACCAUAUAACCCACUGGCAGCACCUCACCGUAGAUGGGACCUGGCAGGGUGCCUGUUCUAGUCUUCACCCCAGCUCCCCCCUUGGCUGGGCCCAGCAGCUGGCCUCUCAGGGCCCUAUGUGCCCCUCGGAUGGGGGUCCUUGAGGGGAGCUUCAUGUGCUUGUCUUAAGUCGAUGGGUCUGGACAAGGGUCUUAGAUGUGGCACAGUCAGCCAGCCGGUCUGUGUGUGCGUCCCUCCUCAGAGGGGGCCCCAGCUUCUGCACAGUCCGCUCACGUGCCCUUCCGCAGCCUGGGCACUGCAGGCAGGGGGAGGGGCUGCCACCCAGGCAAGGCCAGCUCGGCAGUCUGAAGGAACGGCUGGGCAGCCACCUCUGACCACACGUGUGUCCGUGCCGGCGUGGUUAUCUGGGCUGCCUACACAGUUCACGCUAACAUCGUGGCUCACGCUGACAUCGUGGCUGUUGAUGCCACGUGUUGUGAGGCCUGUGUCAGCUCUUCUCCUGUAUUCCAGGGCAACUCCAACAACAUUGCCACCGUGGACAUCUCCGCAGGCUUCGUGGGCUUAGACACCUACGUGGAAAUCCCAGCCGUGCUCCUGACAGCGUUUGGGACGUACGCAGGGCCUGUGCUGUGGGCCAGCCACUUAGUGCACUUCCUGAGCUCAGAAACACGCAGCGGUUCAGCACUGAGUCAUGCUUGCUUCUGCUACGCACUGAUUUGUUCUAUUCCAGUUUCCACAUACAUCGUUUUGGUGACAUCUCUGCGUUAUCAUUUAUUUAUAUGGAGUGUAUUUUCUCCAAAACUUCUCUACGAGGGAAUGCAUCUGCUCAUUACAGCUGCUGUCUGUGUAUUCUUCACGGCAAUGGAUCAAACCAGACUCACACAGUCUUAGACUAAGCUGAACACUGGAAAAAUAAUACAUGCUUAAAGUCUGCUGUUAUUCUAAAAUGAAAGAUAUGAAUUCAACAAAGUUGAUGGAUAAGUUUAAUUUCUUUGACUGCUGUACCUGAAUUUAGACUAAGCAGUAAAUAGUUUAAUAAAAGAUCACUUUAA